UACGAGGGGGCAAAUGUUGUUCGGAAUCACUGGGCGUAAAGGGAGCGUAGGCGGGUUUCUAAGUCAGGUGUUUAAUCCCGGGGCCCAACCCCGGACAGGCACUUGAAACUGGGAAUCUUGAAUAGUGGAGAGGUCAGUGGAAUUGGGGGUGUAGCGGUGGAAUGCGUAGAGAUCCCCAAGAACACCAGUUGCGAAGGCGGCUGACUGGACACAUAUUGACGCUGAGGCUCGAAAGCAUGGGGAGCAAACAGG
rnacentral:rRNA from 1 species